rnacentral:tRNA from 3 species
GCGGGUAUGGUGAAAAGGUAUCACGCGAGCUUCCCAAGCUUACGUUGCGGGUUCGAUUCCCGCUACCCGCUCCA